UCCAUUAUGGUCUAGUGGCUAGGAUUCCGCGCUUUCAUUCAUUGAAAAGCUCCGCGGCGGCCGGGGUUCGAUUCCCCGUAAUGGAA